rnacentral:rRNA from 1 species
CUGUCUCAAAGAUUAGCCAUGCAUGUCUCAGUACAAGCCCAUUAAGGUGAAACCGCAANAGGCUCAUUAAAUCAGUUAUGGUUCCUUAGAUCGUACCACAUAUCCUUGGAUAACUGUGGUAAUUCUAGAGCUAAUACAUGCAAACAGAGCUCCGACCGGAGACGGAAGGAGCGCUUUUAUUAGAUCAAAACCAAUCGGUAUCAGGCGUGUUUCAACGCACGUUUGUUAUCGUACAAUUUGGUGACACUGAAUAACUUUAAGCUGAUCGCACGGUCUAGCACCGGCGACGCAUCUUUCAAAUGUCUGCCUUAUCAACUGUCGAUGGUAGGUUCUGCGCCUACCAUGGUUGUAACGGGUAACGGGGAAUCAGGGUUCGAUUCCGGAGAGGGAGCCUGAGAAACGGCUACCACAUCCAAGGAAGGCAGCAGGCGCGCAAAUUACCCACUCCCGGCACGGGGAGGUAGUGACGAAAAAUAACGAUACGGGACUCAUCCGAGGCCCCGUAAUCGGAAUGAGUACACUUUAAAUCCUUUAACGAGGAUCAAUUGGAGGGCAAGUCUGGUGCCAGCAGCCGCGGUAAUUCCAGCUCCAAUAGCGUAUAUUAAAGUUGUUGCGGUUAAAAAGCUCGUAGUCGGACUUGUGUGCUGUGCCGCUGGUUCAUCGUUCGCGGUGUUAACUGGCGAGCCACAGUACGUCCUGUCGGUGGGUUUAGCCGUUGUUAUUUUUUCAUUAAAGUGCAAUGGCGGCCCAAAUCUAAUCCUGCCGCGGUGCUCUUCAUUGAGUGUCGAGGUGGGCCGACACAUUUACUUUGAACAAAUUAGAGUGCUUAAAGCAGGCUAGAAUUUUGCCUGAAUACUAGUGCAUGGAAUAAUAGAAUAGGACCUCGGUUCUAUUUUGUUGGUUUUCGGAACCCCGAGGUAAUGAUUAAUAGGAACGGAUGGGGGCAUUCGUAUUGCGACGUUAGAGUGAAAUUCUUGGAUCGUCGCAGACGACAU